rnacentral:misc_RNA from 1 species
AUGACGCUACUGCAACCGUCAACUGGUUCAGACUUUUCAGUUCCUUCAGAUGUGGUCAUAAUUAAUGGAUUUAGAUACUUCAAUCGCCUACCACAACGGCUAACUCCUUAUCAACAGCUCCACCGACCAACAAUUUAUUUCAGCUGCCAUUAACUAUCAUUCAACGCA